CUUUGUAGAGCUCAUAGGCAGUACAGAGAGUCCGGAGCACAAGAUUCUCUCCUUUCAAAUACAAUGUAAUUCGCUUUACUUUACAACACUAAAUCUGGGCUUUGAAUUUCCAGUGCAUUGGACUGAUUGGAUUGUUGGGAGUUAGAGGCUGUUCCAACCAUCCUUAGUUUGGGAGAGCGGCUCCUUCUGCUUGUUUUCUAAGCGUACAGUCAACGGGUGCCAUUUGUGGUAUUUAACAUGUUAGGAUGAUUGUUCCAAAUGCUGAGUUGUUUUAUUUCUAGAUGUAAUUAGUUCACUUUAUGUAAUAUUCUUCUCUCAGACUGACUUUAAAAACAAAGUUUUAUCAUUUUCAUUGUAUUUGUAUUUAUUACAGAGUGUUUUAGCUUUGAUAUUCUUUGUAUUUUCACUCAUUUGUUACAUGAGCUUUAUCAAUAACAUCUGUAUAAAUGGUUUUUAAAAAUUAACUAUGUAUGUGCCCAUGCCGAAGUCGAGCAAUAAAAUCAAUGCUGUUUGCAC
rnacentral:lncRNA from 1 species